CACUGGUGGCCUGCCUGCGCGUCACGGUUUUCCUAGCCAGCGUUCCCACGCGGACCCUUCCCAGCUUGCUGUCCUGACCCCAUGCCUUCAUUCAUCCACGCAGUAUCUGAGUGGCAACGGUGUGGGCGUCGUAGUGGCGCAGAACUCUGAUCAGUUCUAACUUUAGGUUCUAACUUUAUCGCAUGGGCUGGCCUUGAACUCACCGUCCCCCUGCCUCAGUCUCUCCAGACCAGAGUGUCCAGCUUAAAACUAGAAAGGUUGAAUGUUUGAAUUCACCGGCUGCACCAGAACGUGGGAUGCAGAGGAAGAAGGACCAGAAGUUCAAGACAGAGUGUCUCUGUGUAGCCUGGGCUGUCCUGGGCUCAUUUUGUAGACCAGGCUGGUCUCGAACUCACAGAGAUCUGCCUGCCCCUGCCUCCUGAGUGCUGAGAUUACAGGCGUGCACCACCGCACACAGCUUGUGAGUCUGUAUUUUAUAACUAAAAGUCAGAAGAAGAAGAAGAAGAAGAGGAAGAAGAGGAGGAAGAGGAGGAAGAGGAGGAAGAGGAGGAAGAAGAAGAAGAAGAAGAAGAAGAAGAAGAAGAAGAAGA